rnacentral:rRNA from 1 species
UACGACUACAUAUCAGGCAUAUCAAUAAGCGGAGGAAAAGAAACUAACAAGGAUUCCCUUAGUAACGGCGAGUGAAGCGGGAAGAGCUCAAAUUUGAAAUCUUCAAGGGUUCUACCUUUACGAAUUGUAGUUUAAAGAAGUGUUUUCCUGUUAGGAGUAGGUCAAAAGUUCCUUGGAAUAGGGACAUCAUAGAGGGUGAGAAUCCCGUAUUUGACCGUUACUUUCCAGCUGUGUGAUACACUUUCAAAGAGUCGGAUUGUUUGGGAAUGCAGUCCGAGAUGGGUGGUAAAUUUCAUCUAAAGCUAAAUAUUGGCGAGAGACCGAUAGCGAACAAGUACCGUGAGGGAAAGAUGAAAAGAACUUUGAAAAGAGAGUUAAACAGUACGUGAAAUUGUCAAAAGGGAAGCGUUUGACACCAGUGUUGUUUAGUUGAAAAUCAAUUCAAUAGUUUUUGAUUCUAAGUAGUAUUGACUUCAUCAGCUUGCUGCUUUCUUCUCAGAAAUUAUUGAAUGCACUUUUCAGUUAACAAGUCAACAUCAAUUUCUUUUGUUGUAAAAGGGUAAGAGGAAGGUGGCUUGCGCUUCGGCUCAAGUGUUUAUAGCCUUUUAUCUCUGCAAUCGGAGAGAUUGAGGUCUGCAGCGUAGAUCCUUCGGGGUUAGAUACAUUGGUGCUAAGCUAUAGCCUUGUAUAGACAACUUGUUGACUAUGCUCAGUCAUGUAGCUUACUCGCUGAUGCUAUUUUACCUACGCUUAGGAUGUUGAUCUACAGAGCGAGAGU